GAAUCAGUGGGGAAAAUAGACCCUGUUGAGCUUCACUCUAGUCUGGCACUGUGAAGAGACAGGAGAGGUGUAGAAUAAAUGGUGGGCCCCCCUCCUGGGGGCACCGCCGGUGAAAUACCAUUACUCUUAUCUUUUCCUCACUUACCUGGUGAGGCGGGAGGGCGAGCCCCACACAGGCUCUUGUUUCUGUCACCCACCAGCCAUGACCCACUCCGGGAACAGAAGCAGGUAGGGAGUUUGACCUGUCAAAUGGCAAUGCAGGUAUCCUAAGACGAGCUCAGGGAAGACAGAAACCCCCCGUGGAGCAGAAGGGCAAAAGCUCGCUUGAUCUUGACUUUCAGUAUGAAUACAGACCGUGAAAGUGGGGCCUCACAAUCUUUUUGAUUGUUGGGGUUUUAAGCAGGAGAUGUCAGAAAACUUACCACAGGGAUAACUGGAUUGUGGCAGCCAAGCGUUAAUGGCGACGUCGCUUUUUGAUCCUUUGAUGUCAGCUCUUCCUGUCAUUGUGAAGCAGAAUUCACCAAGUUUUGAAUUAUUCACCCACUAAUAGUUAAUAGUAGGUUAGUUUUACCAUACUGAUGAUGUGUUGUUGCAAUAGUAAUCCUGUUCAGUAUGAGAUAAAUCAUUCGCAGAUGACCUAGUUCUGGGUCAGGGUGUCGUACGUACUGUAGCAGAGCAGCCACCUCGCUAUUUUCUACUGAAUGUCAGCCCUCAAUCCAAGCUUUU
rfam:Lepisosteus oculatus linkage group LG20, whole genome shotgun sequence.